GAUGAACGCUGGCGGCGUGCUUAACACAUGCAAGUCGAACGGGGAACCUUUUAUUGAAGCUUCGGCAGAUUUAGAUUGUUUCUAGUGGCGGACGGGUGAGUAACACGUGAGUAACCUGCCUUACACAAGGGGAUAGCCGUUGGAAACGACGAAUAAUACCCUAUGAAACUAUCACUUCGCAUGAAGCGAUAGUCAAAGUGUUAGCGGUGUAAGAUGGACUUGCGUCUGAUUAGCUAGUUGGCGAGAAAAAAGCCCACCAAGACAACGAUCAGUAGCCGGCUUGAGAGAGUGUACGGCCACAUUGGGACUGAGACACGGCCCAG
rnacentral:rRNA from 1 species